AUUGAACGCUGGCGGCAUGCCUUACACAUGCAAGUCGAACGGUAGCAGGUCUUCGGAUGCUGACGAGUGGCGAACGGGUGAGUAAUACAUCGGAACGUGCCCGAUCGUGGGGGAUAACGCAGCGAAAGCUGUGCUAAUACCGCAUACGAUCUACGGAUGACAGCGGGGGAUCUUCGGACCUCGCGCGGACGGAGCUGCCGAUGGCAGAUUAGGUAGUUGGUGGGGUAAAGGCCCAACAAGCUUGCGAUCUGUAGCUGGUCUGAGAGGACGACCAGCCACACUGGGACUGAGACACGGCCCAGACUCCUACGGGAGGCAGCAGUGGGGAAUUUUGGACAAUGGGCGCAAGCCUGAUCCAGCCAUGCCGCGUGCAGGAUGAAGGCCUUCGGGUUGUAAACUGCUUUUGUACGGAACGAAAAGUCUCUUUUUAAUAAAGAGGGAUCAUGACGGUACCGUAAGAAUAAGCACCGGCUAACUACGUGCCAGCCGCCGCAGUAA
rnacentral:rRNA from 1 species